rnacentral:snoRNA from 1 species
AGCCGCAUGAGAAGAGGAGAGAGUUCACAGAACUAGCACUUAUAUUCUGCUUUUGCAGAGGUAUAUUUGGCUGUUGUGUGAGACAUUC